GAUGAACGCUGGCGGCGUGCUUAACACAUGCAAGUCGAACGGAAAGGCCCAAGCUUGCUUGGGUACUCGAGUGGCGAACGGGUGAGUAACACGUGGGUGAUCUGCCCUGCACUUCGGGAUAAGCCUGGGAAACUGGGUCUAAUACCGGAUAGGACGAUGGUUUGGAUGCCAUUGUGGAAAGUUUUUUCGGUGUGGGAUGAGCUCGCGGCCUAUCAGCUUGUUGGUGGGGUAAUGGCCUACCAAGGCGUCGACGGGUAGCCGGCCUGAGAGGGUGUACGGCCACAUUGGGACUGAGAUGCGGCCCAGACUCCUACGGGAGGCAGCAGUGGGGAAUAUUGCACAAUGGGCGCAAGCCUGAUGCAGCGACGCCGCGUGGGGGAUGACGGCCUUCGGGUUGUAAACUCCUUUCGCUAGGGACGAAGCGCUUUUGUGACGGUACCUGGAGAAGAAGCACCGGCUAACUACGUG
rnacentral:rRNA from 1 species